rnacentral:rRNA from 1 species
UGGGCCGGAGAUAACGGGGGCAGAUGAGAGCUGGCUCGUAAGGGUGAGGUGGGGGCGGAAGGGUGGGUAACUCGUAGGCACCUGCCUGUAAGACUGGGAUAACUACCGGAAACGGUAGCUAAGACCGGAUAAGUGGUCUUCUCGCAUGAGGAGAUCAAGAAACACGGGGCAACCUGUGGCUUACAGAUGGGCCUGCGGCGCAUUAGCUAGUUGGUGGGGUAACGGCUCACCAAGGCGACGAUGCGUAGCCGACCUGAGAGGGUGAUCGGCCACACUGGGACUGAGACACGGCCCAGACUCCUACGGGAGGCAGCAGUAGGGAAUCUUCCGCAAUGGACGCAAGUCUGACGGAGCAACGCCGCGUGAGUGAUGAAGGUUUUCGGAUCGUAAAGCUCUGUUGCCAGGGAAGAAUGUCGCGGAGAGUAACUGCUCUGCGAAUGACGGUACCUGAGAAGAAAGCCCCGGCUAACUACGUGCCAGCAGCCGCGGUAAUACGUAGGGGGCAAGCGUUGUCUCGGAAAUUAAUGGGACGUACAAGCGCGCGCAGGGCGGCCUGCUCUAAGUAUGUGUGUUUUAAGUGUCGAGUCUCAAAGAGCGUAUUCGCACAGGAAAGCGGGGCGGCUGUGAGUGCAGGAGAGGACAAGCGGAAUUGCACGCGUAGCGAUGAAACGCGUAUAUAUGUGGACGAACACCAGCGGCGAAGGUGGUUUUCUGGCCUGUACCCGACUUUGAGGCGCGAAAGCGUGGGCAGCAAACAGGAUUAGAUACCCUGGUAGUCCACGCCGUAAACGAUGAGUGCUAGGUGUUAGGGGUUUCGAUACCCUUGGUGCCGAAGUAAACACAAUAAGCCCUCCGCCUGGGGAGUACGCUCGCAAGAGUGAAACUCAAAGGAAUUGACGGGGACCCCCACAAGCAGUGGAGUAUGUGGUUUAAUUCGAAGCAACGCGAAGAACCUUACCAGGUCUUGACAUCCCUAUGAAAACACUAGAGAUAGGGUCCCUCUUCGGAACAGAGGAGACAGGUGGUGCAUGGUUGUCGUCAGCUCGUGUCGUGAGAUGUUGGGUUAAGUCCCGCAACGAGCGCAACCCUUGAACUUAGUUGCCAGCAUUGAGUUGGGCACUCUAAGUUGACCGCCGGUGACAAACCGGAGGAAGGUGGGGAUGACGUCAAAUCAUCAUGCCCCUUAUGACCUGGGCUACACACGUACUACAAUGGCCGGUACAACGGGAAGCAAAGUCGCGAGAUGGAGCCAAUCCUAAGAAAGCCGGUCUCAGUUCGGAUUGCAGGCUGCAACUCGCCUGCAUGAAGUCGGAAUUGCUAGUACUCGCGGAUCAGCAUGCCGCGGUGAAUACGUUCCCGGGUCUUGUACACACCCCCCGUCACACCACGCGUGCCCACAUCACCCGACCCCUGAGAUCUCCCCCCCAGACCCGCCCCCUGUAGCCCCCCCCUCCUCCAUCCCCA